GUUUCCCAGUGCGCAGUUUGCCAGGCAAGUGCUGCAACAAUUAAAAAACCAGCGGAAUACAUUCCGAUAAAGGUUAGUCAUCAACCAUAGAAAAUAAUCACAGAAUGUUUUGAUUGCUUAGAAACUACUGAUUUUAUACUUGAAAAAAUUAGAACAGUAGAUUAGCAGUCUGUGUCAUUUCAGUAUUAUUAAUGUAACUAUGUUUUUCUUUUUAAGGUUUCUCAGCCAUUUUAAUUGGGUGGGAUUGACAUUAUUGGGAAUCUUACUGAAACCAACAGCAGACAUCAGUAUAUUUGUGUUUUUAUUGACUAUUUCACAAAGUGGCCACAAGCCAUACCCUUUGAGGUCGAAAUCAGCCAAGGAAGUGACAAACUGUCUCAUAAAAUUUGUCCACCAGUUCGGAGCACCGAAAGGGGUUCUUAGUGACCAAGGCAAAGAAUUUGUCAAUUCUGUAAGUACUUUAGUCUUUGGCAAAAAUAUGUGAACACAUAUUUGAAUAAUUUUUUGAAAAUGGUUCCAUUUCUGGUCUUUAUAAAUCUCUUUUUGAGAUAUUAGUAUGACUGUUUUAUAUUUAAAUUCUUAUUGUAAUGUGCUUAUAGUCACUUGCUUUUGCAGCUCAACAAAAUGGUAUGCAGAUUGUUAAAAGAAGGCUUGGUGGAGAGAAUGAAUGGCACCAUCCAGAGGUAAAUUGGAGUACAUGCAGCUUAAUGCAUAACACGUUAUACUUUUAUGGGGUUCACUUUAACCAAAUCAUUAAUGCAUGACAUUUAACUAUUAAAAAAUUAAAAUGAUCUUUCAUAUGAAUGUCUUCCAUGUGCUUUUAUUGUCAGAGCCCCUCUGUAAGGUUGUUGGUGACCAUCCAGAAACGUGGGAUGAGUAUCUGGAUGAUGUGAUGUUUGGACUCAGAACUAAAAAGCAAAUGACCACCUAAUACUCACCCUAUUACCUGAUGUUUGGCAGAGAGGCUCGUUAUCCAUCCGAAAUCCCACAAGAGUACAUGGUUGACGAGAGUGUGGAAGUGGGGCUGGAAGAGCUGUCGCAAGACAUUCGAAAGCAUCAAAAGCUGUUGGAACUGCUGAAGGACAAUGUGGUCAAAGCACAGGAAAAACCAAAGGGCAAAAUUAAAAUGAUGAAGAGAGAUGUUGUCUUCAAAGUUGGUGACAAAGUUUUAACUGCUAACAUAAGAAGCCAGCAGAGGAAAGGGGGGAAAAUUGAAGCAAACGUUUUAGGCCCUUACAUCAUUACAGCAAUCCAAGGUAAAAGUGUGGAUCUUCAGGAUUCCAAUGGGACAAUCAUUCCAAAAGUACAUGUAGACCAACUAAAGUUAGCAAAGACAGUAUGCCAAGAGUGCCACAUCGGGGUUUAAAGGAAACAGCAGCCACAUUACUAAAAGCACAACCAGGUCCAGCAGCACCACAAGCUGCAGCAGCACCAGCAUCUGCUCUAGCUCCAAAGACUACAGCAGCACCACCACCUCCUAGAGCUCCACAGGAUACAGCACCAGUGGCAUCACUUGCAUCACCACCAGUGAAAACCCCACAACUAUCUCCAGUUCCACAAGGCAUACCAACAACAGUAUCAGAUCCAGGGUCAAGAGACACACUAAGAAAACGCACCACCAGAACCAGCCACAAUUGCUACAGCACAAGGACGCGCUACAGCUCUACAAACUAAAUCCCAAACAGCGGCAGACCCAGCCUCGCAGACCACAGUGGCAGACCCAGUCUCGCAGACCACAGCGGCAGACCCAGCCUCGCAGACCACAGCGGCAGACCCAGCCUCGCAGACCACAGCGGCAGACCCAGCCUCGCAGACCACAGCGGCAGACCCAGCCUCGCAGACCACAGCUCCAAAAGCUACAUCACCAGUAGACUCAGAUCCACAAGCUACAACGCACAAGCCUCAGCUCCAUCUACAGCACAAACCGUAGAAGAAACAGUUCCGCUAGUGACAGCAGCACCAGCCACAGCCCCACGAGCUACCCCUGCACCACCUCCAGCAUCACCACCUCAAAGAUAUACUGAAGCUGUUGCAGAGAAAUGUAAAUAAAUAUAAUAAUUUUUUAUUUGCUUAAAAAGCACUUUUUUGACAGUCUUUGUUUCAGUGCUCUAUAGGUCAUGGCAUAGCACAUUUUACAGUUUUUACCAGAUGUUUUAGGUAUAUUUCCUAAAAGAAUCUUUAAAUUCAAAUACUAUGUUAAUGCUUUUUAAAAAAAAAUAAACCUUCAUGGAGCAAAACAUUAUAGAAAACCUGUAAAAUGCUGUAAGUCACAUGUGUAACAUUACACAAAUGAAUAAGUGAGUCCCUCAAAACUGGGCAUAUUUCUUUGUUGUUGUGUAAACCAGAAUGCUCAUCAUUGACACUGUACAUCUGAUGUACUAACAGUGAAAAGUUUGUACACACCUUCAUUUGAAUGUUUUUUUUUCUUCAUUUUCAUGACUACUUUGUAGUUUCGAACUGAAGGCAUCAAAACUAUGAAUGGACACACAUGGAGCACUAACCCUAACACAAAUGAUGUAGUAAACAAAAAAGUAUGAAAUAACCCAAAAGACCUUUUAGAUCUUAGAUUCUUCAAAUUAGCCACCCUUUGCUUUGAUCACUGCUUUGCACACUCUAGCCUUCUGUCAGUGAGCUUCAUGAGGUAGUCAUCUGAGAUGAUUGGCACUGCAUGAAAAGCAUCAAAAACACUGAAUGGGAAGGUCUGUCCAGAAUUUUGACUAGUAGUGUAGAGAUGCUGCUUUUAAGAGCCCAGAAAUUUACACUCUAUUUUAUAGAUAAUAAUACUAGUUUUGGAGGACAAACAAUAAUAUUUUUCCAGAAACGGUUAUGUCAUAGUAACGGCCAGAGGUGCAAACCUUGAGCCUGACUAUUUUAAAAUAUAUUUAUGUAGCUUCAACAAAACAUAAUUAAAACAUGUUGUUGUAAUGGGUGAUUCUGCUAGAACAAAGAUUUGAUAGGGGCACAAGUAUUUCUAUUCCCAUGUGUUUACAUUUCUUUUUUUUAAUGUGACUUUAAUUUGUUAUGAGAACAUUGUAAGUAUUACUUUACCCCCAAAUAAAAGCAAAUUUAAGUGAUGUAUUUCUUAACAAAAUACAAUGUCAAACCAUGUGCUCAUUUUAUCAGCAUCUUAAAAGUAUUUACCCUGAAACACAUCGUUUGUCAGAUAACCGCAUAAGAAAUUAUGCAUUUUAGAUUUUGAUUUACGUUUUGUUCUGCUGAAUUAUCUCUUUUUCUCAUUACUUUUUGUAGAUAUAAUGGAUGCCUGGGCUGGAAAGAAUCCUCACGUUCUACUGUCAAAAAAAGGUGGUUACAAAUUAUUCUACUGAGAUAGCCAACAAAUUGGUCUUGACAUGGAGUUGGAAAGUGAGGUACAGUGAUCUUUACUGACAGCUAUGUAACUAUCAGUGUUUUAUUCCUUGUGAUGGACCGAGCAGUGAAAGAGAGUCAGGCACAGGUUUGAGUCCCAAAAAAAAGGGUUUUUAUUUAACCCAAAAAAUAGUUGGUUAAAUCUUACAAAAAAAAAUCAAAAUCUUGGGCCCAUAAAAGAGGUCAAAAUAACAGAACUCUACUCAAAGUUAAGAAACAAUACUGAUAACUCAAACAAACUGACCUAACUAAACAAGACAAAGAGGAAACUUAAAUAGUGGCUGAUCAGCCCACAGAAAACACAAAAAGGGGUAUAACACACAAAAAACCUAACUGAAACUGACAUAAUGAACUCCAAUUCCCCCCCCAUGGUUCCGAGUUAUGGAAUGAGCCAAUUUGCAGUUUUCCAUCAAGGCUCGCGCUGCCCCUUUUCCACCUCUUGGCUCCUCAAUCAAGGGACUGGAGCAGCUGCCACUAAGGUAACUCAGAAAAUGAUUAAAUCAUACAUCACAGUGUAAACUAGUGAUGGGUAGAUGAGGCCUCGUGAAGCUUUUCAGCACAUUCCCCAAACUGUAUCGAUACUGUGUUGCUGUUUUGCUCCAUACUGACACCUGCUGGACCUUAAAUAUCAUUGCAGGCAACUUACUUGAGACUUAGAACAGACACUGAUUCAAUGACCUAGUCGUACUUUCCAUGGAAUCAUUUUAUAUCUUUUACAUUUCAAAUAUUGUAGAGAUCUUUAAAAAUAUAUUGUGAAUGACAUUAAGUGAAAAAUUAAAAUGAAAGUAUUGUGAAUGUAAUAUUACCCAUUUAAAUGUAACUGACUCAGAGUUUAUUAUAAAUUUUUAUUCAGAAAAAUACGUUUAUCCAAUGUUUUUGCAUUCAGUCUAUUGCGGUUUUUUGACACCAUUUCCCCAGCUUUGGAAAACACACGCUCACAGGCACAGAUGAAGCUGGGGUACACAAAAACUGUAAAGGCAGGUGGAAAAGGUUCGGAUAAGAUGUCUUCCUAUGCCCCCAGUACGUUAAAGGAUCCUCUGAUCCUGGAAUGUUUCUCUCCGCCAAGUAGCACUGGACCUCAAUGAUGGAGUCCACUGUUGCAUUGUUGAUUUGUCUGCCAACUUCUUCAUCGUGCCGCUGCCACAGGUUUUCUGAAAUAAUAAUGAAUAAAAAAAAAUAAUGAAGCAGUGAAUGUUUUUUGGGAACGAUAAUAUAAAAUAAAAUAAAAUAAAAUAAAAUGGCCGUAAUGCAGCAUCUUCCUGUGGCUAAGCCUCUUCCUGCCUCUCUCUCUCUCCCUCACCUGUACUCCUGAGCAUGAUCUACCUAAUCAGCAGGGAGCUGCAGGGUGAGGAGGUGUGAGGGAGACAGCCAGCAGUGAAGAUGACCAGGCAGACCGAUGUCGACAUACCGGGUGAGCCUUGCUACAUAUUAUAAAGCCCUCGGCUUCAUGCACACCUAAUCAUACCUAACAUGGGCUUUAUUUUGCUCACGGUUAGCAUGUUGCUAUUUCUGUCAGCCUGCUGCUACUUAAAUGGCUUGAGCUCUGACAGCAGGCUUGACUGGGAUUUAGUGGGUGUUAAGUUCGGCAAGUACUUAAACUUUCUGUCCCAGGGCUUUCUAGAGAUGAAUCACAGACAGCAAUGUGCAAAAUUCUUGAACCGCCUCUCAUUCAAAACUUUUCUUGCAAUUUCUUUAAGAAAUAGUUCUCCAGGCUUUCUGAAAGUCUUUCAAAGUGUUUCUUUGGCUGCUGUUUCAUUCAUUUUCAGUCUAGUCCUUAUGCUUGACCAUUUUCAGGGGG
rnacentral:lncRNA from 1 species